rnacentral:lncRNA from 1 species
UACAGGUACACGGAUAAUCAAAAAACAAAUGAAUGCUAAGAAAAUGAUCACAUUUUAGAACUUCAUAAUAUCUUGAUAAUCUAUCAGAGCAAUUGCUAUGGUAAUUGUGGAACAACUAGUGGUCUAUAAAAACCAAAACUAAUGUUUGUAUAAAAAGAAUAUUCAAGCACUCAAGUAGAAAUUUGUUCAACUCAUCUGGGUCAAAUAAUUACUGUAAGUGCCCUUCCCUUCUGUAUAAUUAUACCAUACUGAAGAUUCAUUGAAGCAUGCUAACACCACACGACAGGUAAACUGCAAUACGAAAUUAACUCAACUUCAUUGAUGCAAAUUUUUCUGCAAGAUCCAUAGCCUCGUUAACGUGUGCUGCAUCUGUACCCUGAAAAAAGAUAAGGGUACACAUAUCAGUAAAUAUCAAAUGGAACGCACAAUGCAUACCAAAAAUUCUCCUAAUUGAUGAACAUUUGUCUUCAGCUGUGGAAAAUAUUCCCAGUACUGAUGGCUGUCGGCAUACAAAAUUCAAAGUGACCAAAUUCUAUUUGGACCAAAGGAUUUCAAACUAUAUAAAAUUAUAACGACUCCAUAAAUAAGUCAGGUAGCUUCGAAUAGAUAGCCUAGUUUUAAAAUAGUGAGACUGACACUUGAAUUUUCAAAAAACUAGUUUUAUUUUGGCCAGCGUUUGAGUUCAAAUCAAAUCCAACAAAAAGUUCCAUUAUUUUUCUCUAUCCUCUUCUCCAAAUACGUUUUUAGAGAAGAGUAAUCAAUUUCAACAAAACUAUAACUAAUAUUACAUCAACUCAAUUCAAAAAAAAAGAAAAAAAACUGGACCAGUUUAGAAUAAUUUUAAACCAAUUCAAAUUUGCAAUUUGCAUAUACAGUACAUUUCUGAACCUACUUUAUAAACUAACAAAUUUCAAUUGCUCUUAGGAUUGUUGGAAUAAGUUGUGAUAUAACAACUAAUAAAAACAAUUUCAUGACCACACCGAUCAUAACUAAACAAUAAACAAUUAAAACCCACGACAUCUUGAGCAUUAUCCUAGAACAUCAGCUACUUAUGUGCAGAGAUUAAAGUAAUUAGUCAAUAACUAACCUGACCCGUUGCAAGACCACCUUUUCCUUUACCACAUCUCCCUUUUAGAGGCCCCAACGCAUUACUCAGCCACUCUGCCACAUCCAGCUUACCUUUAUCUCCUUUCUCUGGCACCCCAGCACAAAUUACAGCCUUGUUUGUAGAUUCAUCCGUGCUAAAAACCAUCACAGAUAAACCCUAUUUAACAUCAAGCAUCAUUAAAAGUUAGUGUUUGAUUUUAACAGAAAACUUAAAUAACAUGAAUAUGACAUUUCACAAAACAUAUUCAUCCAUACGAUGACAACUACUGAAUGGCGCCAGAAUUAAAAUCAGCAAUUACCUUUUGGUCCAUAACUUUUGUAACAGCCUCACGAACUGCAGCCACAUCCAGACCAACAUCAACACGAGAUAUGCAAAAGGUUUUCCCGUUAGAAGCAGCAAGCUCAGCUUUCUCAGCUGUAAUAUUCACAGCUUUACGCUUGUUUUCCUCAGCAAUCUGCUUUUGUGCUUUUCUCACUUGGUCCUACAAGAAAUAUGAUUAUUAAAAUAUAUCACUAAAUGCAUUAGAAAAUUGAACAACAAGAAAUAAAAAACAAUAGUUAAACAGGAAAAAGGAAAAAUGCCUGCAAAUAUAUUCUACAUAUAUAUAAUACCUGAAGUCGGGCUAUCUUUGAUUUGAUGUCAGCUUUCUUGGCAGCAGGAAUUGAUAUCGUUUCAACAUUGUUUUUCAAAGAUGAAACUUUCUGUUAAGGGAAAGAGAAAAUCAGGUGACUACAAUUCUGGAAGGGAAAGAUAUGUAUGCAACAUAUCCAUAAUCUAUCUGUUAGAAAAAUCGUCGUUGAUAACAAAGAAAGAGAAAAGGAGAUCAAGUGACAAUCAUGUGAAAGAGGGCAUGCACUAACUUCAGUUGUUAGGCUCCCAACUAUGGUGUUUAUAUAUUCAUAUAAUACUAAUGGCAUGACGGUGGAUCAAGACAGACAAAUCAGUACACAACUACAUAUUCUAGCUGCCCAAAAUGAGACAAAAAUAAAGCAAAACCUUAUUAGAAUACAUUAAAGCCCAGUCUAGUAGUAUCAUUACCAUUAUAGCAGCACAAACUCCCAUCUUCCUCCAAGGCUAAAAAGAAAGGGGAACUUUCAAUGCAUAAUAAAUGUAUUUAUCAGUUGUUCUGUUAGUUUAGUAAUUCAAUCAACACUUCAUGUUCAUGGUCUGAAGUAUUUCCAAAUUUCCAAUAUACUGAAUAAGCUCCAUUAGGCCUUCAUAUUGGGUUCAAAACUAGGAAUUUUUAUACACCCAACAUCUAGUUUGUAACUAUCCUUAAAACAAGCAUAUAUAAUCCCCAAUUUGGUAGCUGGUUCAGCUAGUUGUAUGCUAGUACUGUUUUCCCAUCUUCGGUUAUUAGAUGUCAUGGAGCCAAACAUUUCGACUUGUUGAAUUGGCCAACUAACUAGAAUAGAAAGAAAAAAGUACAAGCCUAAUUUUCCAAAAAAUCUUAUAUGAAUAGAAACCCAAUACCAACCUCUUCCAACAAACUUCCAUCUAACUUAGCUGCUUCAUCUACUUGCUGCUCCAAUUCAUCNGCCACUUUCAUUGCAUCAUAAGCANGAUCAGUUGUGACAGCUGUUAUUCUGCGUAUGCCUUUUGCAAUGCCCUCCUCAGAUAAAAGUGCAAAAGCUUUUGCCUCUCGUGUAUUUGAAAUAUGGGUGCCUAGAUCAUCAACUAAAAAUGAAGAGCCUCGAAUAAUAAAGAGAAAAAAGACCUUCAAAAAAACUUUGCUACAAUAUUCACCUCCACAUAAUUCUGCUGAAAUAGAUAACCAUUUUUCAUUGUCAGGGUCAGCAAGAAGAUCCUCAACUUUUUGUCCAAUUGACACAACUCUAACAGGAUCGGGAUAGACCUACACAAAGGCAAAAUAUUGAGGAACAUGAUCCAAGAUAAAAACUGUAAGACCCUAGAAAAUUUAAUCAAGUAGAAUAAUAAAAAUGAUGGGUUAAGUUGAAGUUAUAAUUUUUGGGAUGAGUAAAAUGAUCAAACUAGUUAUAUAGCUUAUUUGAUUAGAAUACUUGGGUAACAUAGCAAAGGCAUGAAUAACAAUCCUAGUAAGGGGAGCUACCAACUUUUGUGUUUUGUUUUUAUUAUUAUUAUCUUGUUUUUGUGUCCAAAGUAUGGAAUGAAAUUGUGGUUUGACAGUUUAUGGCAUAUGGAGUUUAUGCAUCUUUUUAAUACCAUUAUGUGCGGCAUGUUCUCAUUUGUCUGGCAUCUGCAGUGUUUUAUGGAUUGGUGAGUGUUGUUUUGCUUAAAGUUAUAUAUAAGUAUAUAACAUUUUAUGAUACCUUGGCAAAUUGCAGUUUUCCUUUUUCUUCAUAUUUGUGAUUGCGAUUAGGUAUUAUAAUGUAUAAUUCAUAUUAAAAUUAAAGUUGUUAUGGUUUGAUGUGUUGGCAAGGAACUGCAGCUUUGGCUUUAUUAUAAAUAAAAUUUUGGUUUGGGUUUUUUCAAAACUACAAGGAAUGGCAGACACAAAUUUUACGUGGUUGGUGAUCUUUUUUAUAGAUGUCUUGGCAUUGUAGAUAAAUUUUUGGGUUUGGUGCCUGAUUAAUAUAUAUUGCUUGGGCCGUGACUAAAUUGUGGGUUGCCAUGGAUAGUAGGAGGUUUGAUAGGUACGGUGAAUAAAUAGUUAUAAAAGGUUUUGCUAGCAUGUUAUAUAUAAUAUAGAUUCCAAUAUUUUAUAAUAUUGUUAGGAUAUUGAUUCUAAAAUUAUAUAAUAUUGUUAAUAUAGUCUAUAUAAAUAUAUAUAUAUAUAUAUAUAUAUAUAUAUAUAUAUAUAUAUAUAUAUAUAUAUAUAUAUCACAUAUGAUACAGAAAUUUUAAUAUUUAUAUUGGUGGAUUUUAGUAUUUUAAGUGAUGGUUGCAGAACCUAUAUUUAUAUAUAUAGUAAAUUUAAGGUAAUUUUAUGAGAAAUCGGAUGUUUUAUUUUGUUUUAGUUUAUUUCAUUGAAAAUAUGUGUUGGUUGUUGGAAUGAGAAUGUGAUGUGUCUCGGGAAGAGAUAGGGGACUUUGCUCAUAAGACUCUCUAGGAGAGCGGUGGAUCGUGAAGACUCCACCCUCGAAGAUGAGGGAGGAGUGGACUCCGUUCAUAAGACUGUUGUUGGACAUGAGGAGUUUUAGCUCCACAGGAGCUAAUGACCCGUAAACUUUGCAUGUGGUACAACUUGUGAACUUCGCCAGCAAGUCUGUCCAAGAAAGCAAUGGAAAGUGAACUUUGUUUGUAAGACUUUGGAGCAAGGAGGAGUUAUAGCUCUUUUAGUGAGUUACAAUUGAGAACCUAAUAUUUGCUUAGUUCACAGAGAACGAAAGGUUGAAAACUCUUCGAGAGGGUGUAACUGCUAUGAAAGUAGUUUAUCAGCCUUUAUGAGUCGAUGUCUUGAAUUGAGACCAUUUGUGUGUAGACCUGGGGUGUGAGAUCACAAAUGAUUCCAUUGUUGCUUUGGUAAGAUGUUUUGAGCUAGGAUAUGAUCAUGAGUUGGGUUAGAAGGUUGGUUGAGGGAUAUGACAUGAUUUUUAUAGUGUUUAGUUGUUAAUUGUGAUUGUAAGAUUGAUUGUUCGUGUGUUAGUUAGCCAUUGUUUUAUUUGGUAGUUUUCACCUGCGAUGAUCAUUUUUAUAUGAGAACAAAUCAUCAUAUAAGUAUUAAGAAAGAUGCAAAACACUAAGGAGAGUAGUCAAUAUCAAGAGAUGUUUCAGAUAAAGUUUUAAUCUUAGGCUCUUCCUUUAUAAUAAAGUCAGUUUGUGAUUGAGAUUUUCAAUAAAAUAGAAAUGAAGUUUUAAUUUAAAUUAUGUAAUUUGUGUUAGUUAUAGAUUUUAGUAAGCGAAAAAUGGAGGUGUUACAAAGACAACCAAAAACUGUGAAAUCACAUUACUCACUUCACCAAAAACAGCUCGUAAACCAUUGAUACGCUUGGCUUCGGCAAGAGUUGCUUCCUUUGCACUUACAUCCAAUUCAGCUUUAAUUUGUUCAUUAACAAUUGCCUCAAUUCUCCUUAAAUUGUCGGUGUCAACAGGCUUGCCUAUCAUUAAAGCUUAGUAAACAGCAAUUCUUUAUACUUACAAUAAUCUAAACAGUCCAAUUGAACAAACUUUACCAUGAGAAAAGUCGAAUCUCAAUUUUUCAGGUAGAACAAUGGAUCCUUUCUGGUCAACAUGAUUGCCAAGUACUUCCUGCAUUCAACAUAGAAAAUUUAAGCAAGCACUCAGAUAAGUAAGAGGAAUGACACGUCUUCCUUCAGUGGCCUAUAUCAGCAUACCCUAAGAGCAAAGUUUAACAUGUGCGUGCAGGUAUGGUUAGGGGCUAUGAGGGCACGUCUUCCAUAGUCAACCUGAAAAAGUUAUGAAAUAUACAAAAUAAAUUAGGAACACAGGUGAGAGAAAAGUACUGAAAGAUAACCAGAAAAAAAGUGGAGGUAUUUGAAGUCAGGGAAAGUAAACAUAUAAUCAAGGAGAAGUUGGAGUCAAGGAGAAAUAAUAAAAGCAAAAAGUAAAAAAAAAUAUAAAUAUAUAGACCUUGCAUACUACUCUGUCACCAACAGAGACACCAGUUCCAUUACCAAUGUGAAGAAUAAAACCUCCGUAAACUUGAGUAUUAUGCACUUGAAAUGAACCAAUUGUACCCUCAAGUGAUCCAGUAUCAAAAAUCUGCAUCCGUAAUAAAAGGAGAGUGCAUCACUUCAAUUGAACUAACAAAUUCAACUGGUAGAUUAUUUUAUUUUCAGUCCCUGUUUUCAUGGCAGUUGGCUAAUUCCAGGCAUAUUUGCUUUAUAUUUCCCGUUAGCAAAAUACAUCAAAAUAUCAUGUUCUACACAUUAUACCUCUGACCAUUUUUAUUCUAUUGUUUCAUACGUCAAAGUCAUUAAUGUUAAAAUGUUUCUCUUCCAGUUUUUCUACUAUAAUAUGCUCACGCAUACAAAUAAAACUAUAACAAAAUAUAACAAUUUAUUUAAAGGCCUGAUACCUGACCACCUUGCUCAGCAUAGAAGCUUGUAGAUUCCAGAACUAAACCAACAUCCUCACCAGUAUUAACGGUAUCAACAAACUCAGAACCAGUAUAUAUUGCUUGUACCACACUCUCAUGGUCCUAUGAUAAGAAAUCGUGAAGAAUAGAAGUUUAAUCAAAGAAAAAAGGUUGGGGGCAAGAGAACAAAUAGUAGAAACUCCUCCAUUCAGUAGUUUUUGUUAACAAAAUUACCUUGAACCAAGCAUAUUUGAAGCUAUCAUCUGUUGGGGCUAUGCCCCUUUUGUGCAAUGCAGAGGUAGCAUCAGCAUCCAUGACAAUGGCCCCACCAGCUUGCUGACAAUAACAAAAGAAAGUUUGGGAGAAGCAGAAAAAAGAAAAGAUGAGUGGUAAUAUCAGCCAAGGAUUAGUUUAUUUAUCCUUUAAAUAUAAGGGGUGUUUUUGAAACAAAUAAGAAACUUAUGCACAGAAAAGAGGCAUUCAAGCAAUUAAGAUACCUUUGUUUGAGCACUUCUGGAUCUCUCUCUUGCAGCCUCCAUUGCCCUAUCAAAACCUUUAACAUCAACAACUAAUCCCUUUUCUUCAGCCAUCAGCUGAUACAACAGGAAAUUGUUAGGAAAAAAAAAAAAAGGGGGUAUAACAUAGACUUUCAGUUCCAUACAGCAUUAAAGUGAACCAACCCACCUACCUGAGUGAGAUCUAAUGGGAAUCCAUAUGUAUCCCACAAGACAAAUGCUUCCUAUAAUCAAGAGACAACUGCAUGAGAAAUAUCCCAUAGGUCUAUUGAAAACAACUUAUUGAAUUAUAAAAUCAACAGGUCAACACUCGUGUAUUUGUGCAUUAUUACGAAUGUGAUUUUAACACAAACAACAAAUCUUUAUGAUAAAAUUAAAGGACUUAAUGGUUAUGGAUAAAAACAACAGAAUUUUUAAGUUGAAAUGAAGAGAAACUAAUUUAAAUCACUUUCCCAAAGACAGUUAAAAAAUAUGACAACAAAAAAAUUUCAGAGCCAAGUGAAAUUUCACAAACAUAUUUGUUUGCUUGAAUUUUAAAUAUACGGCAUAUAUAUGCAAAUACAUAUUGACUAAAAGGAAACUGAAAAUAACAGGUUCUACUUGCCUCCCCACUCAGUGUCUUUCCCUGAACAUGUUGAACAGCUGUCUCAAAUUUCUCGAUACCCUGGAAAAGGAAAAACAUCAGGUUUUCUUAUACUCUUUAUAUGUAUAACAUGAAAAAGAAUAUGACAAAAACCAUCUAGUGCAACGAAUAUAGUACACAAGAAUCAAAACUAAUUUGAGAAAUGGCUGUCAUUAAGAUUGACAAGUGAUAAUCCAUAAAUAUACAUUAGCAUAUGCCUAUCGUCACCUUAAUUAAGGUUCUUCCAAAACUUUCCUCCUCCUCUUCAAUUACAUUCCGAAUGUGACUUUCCUGUUGUUUUAGCUCAGGGAAAACAUCACCCAUCAAAUUCACCACCACACUUACAAGCCUGGGAUUCAGUAAAAAUGAGGACAGAACAUUACAGAUAGAAUGUAUGUUCGCAUAUUUAUACAAACAAAGAAUUACCUGAGGACAAACUCAGCAACAAUUCCAGUAAAGAGAAGUACACAAUUUAGAAAAAAUAAAUAAAGGUGAAAGAAUUUAUUUAAGAAAGAAUGUCAUGGAAAAUGAAAGAAAAACACAGUAGAGAACAGAAAAUUUUAUUACAAAAAAAUCAAUUUACAACGAAAAAAUAUUUACACAUACACGUAAUUAAUACAUUCCCAAACAAUCUAACAGAUUCCCACUACUGUCACUGAAUAACCAACAGCUGGUGGUUAGAACAACCUGUCUGGAUAUCGCUGAAGGUUAAACAUGCAGUACAACUGAAUUAUUACCCAACCUAACUUGAUAAAAACCUAGGAAAAACCACACCACAAAAAUUAGUUGUUGUAGUUGCUGAAACCAAAGUCCUAUAAACUUCACUCUAAAAUCUCAUACUUCCAAAGUCCUAUAAACUCACUCUAAAAUCUCAUACUUCCAGUGUCGGACUCGAGCCCCAUACACAGCAAUAGAAUCACCAUGAUCUACAGCAGGCUAUCUAUGAACUGAUUUGACUAGUCUCAGUCUAACACUACAAUGCUAACACAGAAGAUAGCUGUUGUAGUUGAAAAAUCCAAGGCCCAAUAAACCCCACACUAACGAUACAUUCAUCAAGCCAGUGUAUCCAUGUCAAGAACAUAUCAGACAAGGAUACAUUUAGAUACGUAUUCUUUGGAGUUCAUCAAGCCAGUGUAUCCAUGUNNNNNNNNNNNNNNNNNNNNNNNNNNNNNNNNNNNNNNNNNNNNNNNNNNNNNNNNNNNNNNNNNNNNNNNNNNNNNNNNNNNNNNNNNNNNNNNNNNNNNNNNNNNNNNNNNNNNNNNNNNNNNNNNNNNNNNNNNNNNNNNNNNNNNNNNNNNNNNNNNNNNNNNNNNNNNNNNNNNNNNNNNNNNNNNNNNNNNNNNNNNNNNNNNNNNNNNNNNNNNNNNNNNNNNNNNNNNNNNNNNNNNNNNNNNNNNNNNNNNNNNNNNNNNNNNNNNNNNNNNNNNNNNNNNNNNNNNNNNNNNNNNNNNNNNNNNNNNNNNNNNNNNNNNNNNNNNNNNNNNNNNNNNNNNNNNNNNNNNNNNNNNNNNNNNNNNNNNNNNNNNNNNNNNNNNNNNNNNNNNNNNNNNNNNNNNNNNNNNNNNNNNNNNNNNNNNNNNNNNNNNNNNNNNNNNNNNNNNNNNNNNNNNNNNNNNNNNNNNNNNNNNNNNNNNNNNNNNNNNNNNNNNNNNNNNNNNNNNNNNNNNNNNNNNNNNNNNNNNNNNNNNNNNNNNNNNNNNNNNNNNNNNNNNNNNNNNNNNNNNNNNNNNNNNNNNNNNNNNNNNNNNNNNNNNNNNNNNNNNNNNNNNNNNNNNNNNNNNNNAUAUAUAUAUAUAUAUAUAUAUAUAUAUAUAUAUAUAUAUAUAUAUAUAUAUAUAUAUAUUUUAACGUAUAUUAUCCUAUGUUUUUUAACAUGAAAUGAAUGGCCUUGUUAGACAUAUGUUUUGUAUCCAAUACUUGUAUCAUAUGGUGCACCAUAGAUGGAAACAAAGAUUUACAUCAAGAUUUAGGCAACAGAUUAAAGUUGUUAACCAUUAUGCAUACCCACUGAAAAAUCCCUCUUUAGCUUUUAGCACUUCUCGUCCAUACCGCACAGCUCGACGAAGUAUUCGUCUUAGAACAUACUCACGGCCAUCAUUACCUUAAAAUAAAUGGAAAUCAGUCAAAUAGUAGAAGUUUUUUAGUUUAACACGGGUCUACGUGAUGCCCAAACAGACUAAAUGUUUUACAGCUAGUAGUACAGAUAUAUAAUAAUCAAAAAGUCAAAAACCUAAAUAGAUUGGAUAAGGGAAUUUAUUUUUCAUAAUGCAGCUACAAACAGAGUUAAAGUUAAAACUGUCAAUGAAGAACAGGCCUCCCUCAAGGUAUGAAAGGGAAAAGACAAAAAAAAUUGAUGUCACUUAAAGCUGCUAUUUCGUGACUUGCAAUUUCAAUGAAAAUACCCGUUCUAUAAUAUCAUACCAGGACGAGACCCGUCAGCAAUGGCAAAUGAAAGAGUUCUGAUAUGAUCUGCAACAACCCUGUAUGCCAUGUCAACUUUAUCUACAUCAUCUGCUCCAACUUUACCAGAAUAUGGUCUGGCACCAGUCGCCUGUAAAUGGGUUACACAAAAGCAAAAUUAUAAAUCAAACAGGUUACAGUCACAAACAAUAAUUUAAAUACAAGUACUAAAAGAAAACAAAUAAAACAUUAACAAGGAGAAUCAUUCACAUAGAAAUUUAAAAAACACAUGCAAAUCUAAAUGCAAAUUCAUAAAAGCAUUCUUAGGAUUUUAAAACAGCACAUGGAAAUGCAUUCCAUGACACAAUGGAAAUCUUAUAUGUAAGAACACAUAUUUCUGUAGGAACCAUAAGUAUUUGAAAAUAGCAAGUAAAAUCAACAAUUUGCAAAUGUAGGUUAUCUGAGGUCAAAAUAGAUAUUUAUAUAAAUAGACAUUUGAACUUAAGGAGAUGUCCAAUGGUAUUAGAUAUCAAGGCAGCUUGAGGAAUAAAGUCGGUUUAUCCAAAUGACCUAGUUCUGCCACAAGGUGCACAAACAGAAAAAACAAGAAGAAGAAAAAAACAAUUUAAUGUCAUUCAGCUUACAGUGAUUUAUUUUUUGCAUUCAUUGUAGGCAAAGACAGUAAAAACUUUAAAAAAACACUAUGGACAAUGGGUACUAGCCCGACAAUCAACAAUAAUCCUGGUCAACAUUUUAUUCCAUGUUAAUUGUUAUAGACUUAUAACAAUUACAUAUUUAAAUAUUCCAGUAGAACUUCUUUAUACAAACGGAUAACUAGGGUUCAGAUAGGUUAGGAAAUGCUCUCUCCACUGGGUACCAUGUGUACACAUUCUGCUAUAAAAGUGAUAUGUGAUACUACAUGCUGAAUACCAUCAAACACAAGGGAAAUAUAAUAAACUCUAAUGCCUUCAUCAAAAUACCUUCUGAAUAACAUCAAAGAUUGGCAUGAAGACGUCAGUGUCAUAAUUGCUCAUUUUAUUUUGUAGUAUAGAGGUCAGUCGUUCAAAACCCAUGCCCGUAUCAACAUGCUUUGCUGGAAGCGGUUUAAGAGAGCCAUCAGCCUCCCUAUUGAACUGUUACCAGGUAAACAAAUAGUCAAAUUCAUACAGAUCCAUGGUGAACCAACUAAGCAAAGUACAUAAAUGAGAGGACAAAAAUUAUUGAUCUCUGUAAAUCAUUUUAGUACCUGAAUAAAGACAAGGUUCCAUAUCUCAAUGCAAGUAGGAUCAUCGUUAUUUACCAAUGAUGCAGCAUCACGGUUACCAAUUCUGUCAAAAUGUAUUUCAGUGCAAGGUCCACAAGGACCAGUAUCACCCAUUUCCCAGAAAUUGUCCUAUCCAAAGAUACAGAUUUAGUAAGAUAUGCAGGUUCAGUUCAGACAGAAAUUACAGUAAAGUACUAAAUUUCAAUUUUGUAUGCCAUAUAAUUCUUAUGAAAAAAAGUUGCAUUCUAAUUGUUUUCCUAGAGGAAAGGUGAAAUGGUCCCAGCAUCCAUUUGAGAAGCCCAAAUAAUCUUUUAAUUGACAGUAUAAUUUCGAUUAUUACUCACUGAUAACUACCUGCGGUCACAAUGUUACCCAUUAAGUAUGAAAAAUAAUUUAUCAUCACAUUAUAAAAAUAGAGCAAUAGGUUGUCUGUGAAAUAACUCUGAUGCUAGAAUAAAAUAAUGCAUAUUGUUUGCUACAAUAUUAAUUAUACUUUGUGAUUCUGUUUCACAUUUUAAUUUAAGACGUGGUGAAAGCAUACCUUACAUCCAAAAGGAAGCACACGUCCAGGAGGCAAAAACUUCAGCCAUAUAUCUCUAGCCUCAAAAUCAGGGGCAAGACCAGCCUUGUCAUCCCCACCAAAAUAUGUGGCAUACAAGCGAUCUGAAGGUAACUUGUAAACCUGAAGCACAAAAAAGUUCAUGAUUUAAACUUAAAAAGAGCAAAAGUUAUGGAUUAUAUAAAUCAAGAAGUCAAAUGACCACUAACUUCCCAAUUUAGUAAUGUGGCACAAUACCAUACAUACAAAUUAAUCAUUCCAACUUAUUUUUUUCAUAGGAUGUGAUUAUUAAGUCAUCCAUAAUAAGCAAGUGGUAGAGGUACCUAAAUGUGAUACCCAAUGUCAAGAUUGCAGUUAACAAUUGAACACUAACAAAAUCCUUCAUAAUGUGAUACUCAAUGCAUUAAUAGUUGGCAUGGUGCAAUUGAUGGAGUGGAAGGUCUAAGUGCUGUUGACAGUGAUGGAAAAAUUGCUAAAUGAAAGUUUAACUGAAGACCAACUUACUACCAUAUGAAACUCACAAAUUAAGCAAACACAAAAGACCCAAUAAUAUAAACCAACCUAUAUGGCACAGGAUGGUAGCUAAAGUUAAUUACUAGCUGCUAGUGAUUAGAUAUCAUUCUCAUGGACAAAGCACUUGGCAUAGUGAUCUAACAUAAUAUCAAUGUUUACAACAAAGAGGAUAUAAUUCAAGAUGCAAAAUAUGAAGUUCAACCAAUAAAGCAUACUUCGGUUAGAAGCUCCCACGCCCAGCUGAUGGCUUCUACUUUAAAGUAAUUCCCGAACGACCAAUUUCCCAACAUCUCAAAGAAGGUGUGAUGGUAGGUGUCCUUCCCUACAUCAUCAAGAUCAUUGUGUUUACCACCCGCUCGAAUGCACUUUUGUGUGUUGCAAGCACGAGACAGUUUACUCAAGGCAGUGUUGGGAUCCGCGGUACCCAAAAAAAUUGGCUUGAACUGGUUCAUACCUAUCAUCACAUCACAAAUAAACCUUAACACCAUAAAUUUUUCCCGCGAAUCAAAUAACGCAGUGUUAUUAACUUACUAUUAUGGCCAAUAUAUCUAUCAACAAACAUGUCUUCACUACAAAAACCUUUUUAACACCUACCAUAUCCCUCUCCUUCUCUUCUCUCACAAUGAAAAAUGUUAACAAGCAUCACUUCAUAUUUCAAGUCAAAACCUUUAACGCCUCCACGACCAUUCCCAAUUUCAAAUAUAGUAUGGCACAAGUUGACUUGAAGAAAAAUCCAUACACAUAAUCACUCAUCGCAAAACAUACCAGCGUUGGCGAAGAGAAGAGUGGGGUCAUUGAAGGGAACGACGGGGCUGGACUUCCAGUUGACGUGAUUCUUGCCUUCGAAGAAACCCAUGAAAGUGUCCCUCACGCGCUUCGCCGGCCACUCCACAUGCUGAGUCUCAGCUCCAGGCAUGGCUGCGACGGGAGACGACGGCGAAUGAAGAGAUCUAGCGGCGCGAAAGGGGAGUGACAGUGGUAGUAGCGGCGGCGGAACAGGGUUACAGUUUCGAAAGGAAAUGAGCAAAGCUCUUACACCAAAUCCUCUUUUCAUUCACUCAUCUAUUAGUGUCUUGGUUUUUUUAACGCUAACAUUUGGAACAGACGAAUAAGUCCACUUCUCCAAAUAUUAUGUAAUAACUAUUUUUUUAAUGAAACUACUAUUGGGCCUUUUUGUUUGGUCAACUACUCACAUUACAGACCCAAUUUUGCCGGCCGGCCCAAGUUUUUUGAGACGAUAAUUUGUUUAUGGGGGUUACUCCAUGUACCUCCCCAAUUCUAACCCCCACCCCCCAUUCCAUUUUUAAGAUUUGUUUUAUUAGUUUACUUUUUAUAUUAAUUUUCAGAUAUUUUAAUAAUGGAAUUUAUAUGUUUUGAUGUAUUAUUUUUAAAUAUAUUUUUAACGUAUAAAUGGNAGAGUGAGAGUUGCAGAGAGUGUUUGGAGGAGGAGUGUUUCAAAAGCUUUGGUGGGGGUGGGGGUGGGAAUACGAAGAAGAGGAAUUUGAGUCUGUGUGUUUUGACUGAGACAGACUGUAAAAAGAGUAGGUUAACUUUAGUAAAUAGGUGUAAAACGGUAAAAAUAAAAAAAACAUAAAGAUUAAUUUUGUAUUUAAAAAAAAAUCCAAAAAAAUUGGGGGGGUGGAGGUUGGAAUUGGGGAGGUACAGGGAGUAACUCCCUUUGUUUAUUCUCCGACUAGUGAAGAUUUUUGGAGUUUAAUUAAUGCAAAAAUAUUCCGUCUUAAAAAUGUGAAUAUAUUGACGUUACUUUCCCUCUUUUUAUAAUUAUACCGUUAUAUUAAACAGUGAAUUAUCAGUUAGAGUAAAUCAAACAGUUUUUUUCUUUAUAUUUAAAUAAUUUUAUUUAUUUUUAAAUAUUUUUAAUUGCUUUUUCACAUAACAAUAUUUUUAUUUGUUUUUUUACAUAAAAGUAUUUUAUUUCUAUUUUCAAAUAUUGAAUUUUAUAACCUAUGUAAUAAAAAAAUGUCUUUUCUCUUUUUUUAUUAUUUUUAAUUUUUGUUUCAUUUGAAUCACUUUUAUUUUUUUAAAACAAUUUUUAUUAUUUUUCAACUCUUAAACUAACUUUAUAUUAGCUUUUUUAGAUUUUAAGUCGAUUUAUUUAAUCGUCAAUUAUAUUUUUUUUUUAUUUGAUUGAGUAAUAUAUCAAAUUAUUUCUAAGAGAGAUAUUUCAUUAUUUUUAUUUUUGUUUUAUAUUUGUAUGUGUUAUUUAUUUGUAUAUUGUGAAAUAAUGUUGUGACAACUUUUAAUGAGACUACUCUUAUUUUCCAAUUAAUUGUCAUAAGUGUAAUUUCAUCAUUAUAAUUAUAUACAUAUAUUUUAUUAUCAUCUAAUGAAGUUAAAAAAAAUAAAAGACAUGUGUAAUUUAAAUUAUUAUUAUUUUAAUCCUUGUUUUUCUUGUAGAACAUGAUUUAACUUAUAUGUUAUAAUUUUUAUAAGUGCAUAAAAAAUAUUUUAUUAUAAUUUAGACAAAUAAAAUAAAAAGACAUUUAAAAUAGUUUUAAACUUGGUAUACUAAUUCUUUUAUAAUUCUUUAGACAUGUUUUUAAAUUUGAUCUAUCACAAAUUCAAUCAUAUUAGAUUAAAAAAAUUAUAAAUUGUAAAUUUUAGUACGGGUGAAAAAUAAACCUAAUCCACUGAAAACUUGACUCACUCAAAGAAAAAAAAAAAAUACCUCACUUUUAAUUUAAUAAUCCAACCAAAGCCACAAACAAACCUUUCAAUUUUGGGGUAAAACUUUGAUAAUAUUUAGAUUUUAUAUAGAAUUAUGAUUUAGUUAUUUGGUGAAUCAUUUGUGUAGUGUCUAAAAUGGAAAAAAAAAACAAUUUUUUAAAAAUAAAUUUAAACUUUUUUGGAUUUUCCCAUCAACCUCUAAUAGUUCGUGCCAAACUCAAAAUUUUUUAGAUAGCUAAUAAAUGAAAAUAGGAUUCACUUACUAAAUUAUCAAUCCAUAAUAGGUUGGGUCCGAUAGGCCAUUCUGAUAACUUUAAACAGGUGUGGGUAUAUUAGUUGUUUGGUGGGAUCAAAAUUAAAUGAAAAUAUCAUUCACGAUGGGCAUGAAAUUGGAUAGAUGAUGAAUGUUUUAUUUAUGAAUGAAUAUUGAAUAAUGAAACUCAGUAUUCGGUAGUCGUGAUGUCAUCCCUCCUACACCCUACAUACAUAUACACAUGAUGUCAUCCCUCCUACAUACAUAUACACAACGACACACCCCCAUAUACACACACAUACAUCACACAUCACUCGUAUACAGCAUAUACACAGAUAAACUGCAAUACAACAUUAACUCAACCUCAUUGAUGCAAAUUUCUCUGCAAGAUCUAUAGCCUCGUUAACGUGUGCUGCAUCUGUACCCUGAAAAAAAGAUAAGGGUACACAUAUAGUAAAUAUCAAAAGAUAAGGGUACACAUAUCAGUAAAUAUCAAAAGAUAAGGGUACACAUAUAAGUAAAUAUCAAAAGAUAAGGGUACACAUAUAAGUAAAUAUCAAAUGGAACGCACAAUGCAUAUGAGAAAUUCUCCUAAUUGACGAACAUCUGUCUUCACUUGUGAAAAAUAUUCCAAGUAGUGAUGGUUGUCGGCAUACAAAAUUCAAAGUGACCAAACUCUAUUUGGACAAGAGGAUUUCAAACUAUAUAAAAUUAUAAGAUGACUCCAUAAAUAAGUCAGGUAGCUCCGAAACCAUAACCUAGUUUUAAAAUAGUGAGACUGGCACUUGAAUUUUCAAAAAACUAGUUUUACUUUGGCCAGAGUUUAAGUUCAAAUAAAAUCCAACAAAAAGUUCCAUUAUUUUUCUCUAUCCCUCUUCUCCAAAUAAGUUUUAGAAAAGAGAAAUUUAUCUCAAAAACAAAACUAUAACUAAUAUUACAUCAAAUCAAUUACAAAAAGAAAUGGAACAAUUAAGUAAGAGUGGAAGACCCUGAAAGCAGCGUCUGAAUCCGAUGGCAAAAGAGGGAAACGACUUCAUUGAAGUAAACAACGUCGUCGAUGGCACAGGAGAGGCAGAGGAAGAGCACGCAGCACCAGAGGAAGAUGUCAAUGACAUGGAAGAAAAGAAUGAGUAUACUUUCAGGUUCAAAAAUGAAUGAAUACUUUGGACUUUGUCGAUUCUGGCCUUCUACCCUACGAGCGAUUCGAGGGUCUUGAACAGGAAGCUUUUUGCGAUAAAAGAACGAAAAGUAACUGCCAUGUAGGUUACAUUAAAAGGGUCAUGUAGGUUACAUUAAAAUUUAAAACAGAAGGUAGUCAUAUAACUUGCAACUGAGUGCUUACAUUUUCACAUUUUCAUGUACAUUUGUUCUAGGUUAUGGAUAUUAUAUGUAUAAAAAAUAAAGAAUCGUAAGCAUACAAAGAAAAUGGUAAACAAUUAAACUAGUGAUAAGCUAUCAUGUAGAACAGAAAAUUCAGGGAAAAAAGAGGGGGAAAUUGUAAGAAUGAAACUAAUGUAACCUGCAUAUAAAAAAUGGAAACAGCUAUGAGCAAAAAAAAUGCAACAGGCAUAACCACAUAUCUUAAAUUUUCUUCCAAAAUCAUAACACCAAACGUAUUCCUCUAAUAUCCACUCUAUUGUUGGAGAUCAAAACUUGUAAUCUACCCUGUAAUAUAAAAGAAUUAAAGGAAAGUUAUCAACUUCUUUCUGGUGUAGCCUUUGCUUAUGACUGGCAAACUGCUAAAAAUGCAUCAGGAGACUAACAAAAAAUAACGGUAGGCAAUCAACUUCUUUCAUGAUAGCCUUUGCUUACGUAGAAAAAUAAAUAAAAGAAAAGAAAUAAAAUAUUUUUUGCAAUGUGACACAAUGAUGAACUACCAAUUUAUCUUUCAAAGCUUACUUGUUUAUAGAGAAAACCAGACAAACUGCAAACAUAAUAUAUUAUGCACUGCAUGGCAUACCUUUCUUGAUCUCUUGCGCACACCAUGAUAAUCUAUUGCUUCCAUUAUCUCAGCUAUCUUUGACCCGAAAUAUUACUUUCCCUAGCCAUCUUAGAAGGGGCUCUUCACUGCAUUUAGUGAUAUAAAAUAGCAUGAAUCAAACAAACAUGAAAAAAGUAAGUAAGCGCAGUGAGUUAUUUUAUCAUUUGAUACAUUUAGAAUUU